rnacentral:rRNA from 1 species
UACGUAGGUCCCGAGCGUUGUCCGGAUUUAUUGGGCGUAAAGCGAGCGCAGGUGGUUUAUUAAGUCUGGUGUAAAAGGCAGUGGCUCAACCAUUGUAUGCAUUGGAAACUGGUAGACUUGAGUGCAGGAGAGGAGAGUGGAAUUCCAUGUGUAGCGGUGAAAUGCGUAGAUAUAUGGAGGAACACCGGUGGCGAAAGCGGCUCUCUGGCCUGUAACUGACACUGAGGCUCGAAAGCGUGGGGAGCAAAUAGG